AACGAACGCUGGCGGCAGGCCUAACACAUGCAAGUCGAACGCCCGCAAGGGAGGUGGCAGACGGGUGAGUAACGCGUGGGAACCUACCCUAAGGUGCGGAAUAGCCCAGGGAAACUUGGAGUAAUACCGCAUAAGCCGCAAGGGAAGAUUUAUCGCCUUUGGAUGGGCCCGCGUCUGAUUAGCUAGUUGGUGAGGUAAUGGCUCACCAAGGCGACGAUCAGUAGCUGGUCUUAGAGGAUGAUCAGCCACACUGGGACUGAGACACGGCCCAGACUCCUACGGGAGGCAGCAGUGGGGAAUAUUGGACAAUGGGCGCAAGCCUGAUCCAGCCAUGCCGCGUGAGUGACGAAGGCCUUAGGGUUGUAAAGCUCUUUUGGCGGGGACGAUAAUGACGGUACCCGCAGAAUAAGCCCCGGCUAACUUCGUGCCAGCAGCCGCGGUAAU
rnacentral:rRNA from 1 species